CGCUUUUGACAAGCUCUUUGGUUAUUUAUUUAUUUAUUUAUUUAUUUAUUUAUUUAUUUAUUUAGCUUUGCCAACUAGGGCAGGGUCACCACAACAGCAUAUGCCAAUUACUGUGGGCCCUUUUUACCUAACCCACCCUGUCAACUUUCCCUGUGGGAGGAAACCGGAGUACCCGGGGAAAACCCACAGCUUUCGGCAGAGCGUUGACUUUUACUCUUUUCACAUGGGGACUGGGUUCGAGUCGCACUGAGAAGGUACUUAGUGAGACUCGAACCUGCAGCCUCAGAGGUGAAAGGCAAGUGCGCUAACCACUUGGCCACCGAAGCCCCUA